AGAGUUUGAUCCUGGCUCAGGACGAACGCUGGCGGCGUGCCUAAUACAUGCAAGUCGAGCGGACCGACGGGAGCUUGCUCCCUUAGGUCAGCGGCGGACGGGUGAGUAACACGUGGGUAACCUGCCUGUAAGACUGGGAUAACUCCGGGAAACCGGGGCUAAUACCGGAUGCUUGAUUGAACCGCAUGGUUCAAUCAUAAAAGGUGGCUUUUGGCUACCACUUGCAGAUGGACCCGCGGCGCAUUAGCUAGUUGGUGAGGUAACGGCUCACCAAGGCAACGAUGCGUAGCCGACCUGAGAGGGUGAUCGGCCACACUGGGACUGAGACACGGCCCAGACUCCUACGGGAGGCAGCAGUAGGGAAUCUUCCGCAAUGGACGAAAGUCUGACGGAGCAACGCCGCGUGAGUGAUGAAGGUUUUCGGAUCGUAAAACUCUGUUGUUAGGGAAGAACAAGUACCGUUCGAAUAGGGCGGUACCUUGACGGUACCUAACCAGAAAGCCACGGCUAACUACGUGCCAGCAGCCGCGGUAAUACGUAGGUGGCAAGCGUUGUCCGGAAUUAUUGGGCGUAAAGCGCGCGCAGGCGGUUUCUUAAGUCUGAUGUGAAAGCCCCCGGCUCAACCGGGGAGGGUCAUUGGAAACUGGGGAACUUGAGUGCAGAAGAGGAGAGUGGAAUUCCACGUGUAGCGGUGAAAUGCGUAGAGAUGUGGAGGAACACCAGUGGCGAAAGCGACUCUCUGGUCUGUAACUGACGCUGAGGCGCGAAAGCGUGGGGGAGCGAACAGGAUUA
rnacentral:rRNA from 1 species